rnacentral:rRNA from 1 species
AGUGAACGCUGGCGGCAGGCCUAACACAUGCAAGUCGAGCGGCAGCGCGUCCGACCACCCUCGGGUGGUCGGAUGGCGGCGAGCGGCGGACGGGUGAGGAAUGCAUCGGAAUCUGCCUCGUUGUGGGGGAUAACGUAGGGAAACUUACGCUAAUACCGCAUACGACCUACGGGUGAAAGUGGGGGACCUUCGGGCCUCACGCGAUGAGAUGAGCCGAUGCCGGAUUAGCUAGUUGGCGGGGUAAAGGCCCGACCAAGGCGACGAUCCGUAGCUGGUCUGAGAGGAUGAUCAGCCACACUGGAACUGAGACACGGUCCAGACUCCUACGGGAGGCAGCAGUGGGGAAUAUUGGACAAUGGGGGCAACCCGUGAUCCAGCCAUGCCGCGUGUGUGAAGAAGGCC